rnacentral:sRNA from 1 species
UGAAACGCUUAAUUUCCUAUUUGGAGAACGGGGGAUCCAACGGAGCGCCGACCGCUCCAGGGGUGAAGCUCGCAAACGUGAGCCGGGAAACUCUCAGUCCCGAACCCGUCAGCUAACCCCGUCAGCGUACCCGAGAGGU